rnacentral:rRNA from 1 species
GAUGAACGCUGGCGGCGUGCUUAACACAUGCAAGUCGAACGAAGCACUUUAUUUGAUUUCCUUCGGGACUGAUUAUUUUGUGACUGAGUGGCGGACGGGUGAGUAACGCGUGGGUAACCUGCCUUGUACAGGGGGAUAACAGUUGGAAACGGCUGCUAAUACCGCAUAAGCGCACAGCAUCACAUGAUGCAGUGUGAAAAACUCCGGUGGUAUAAGAUGGACCCGCGUUGGAUUAGCUAGUUGGUGAGGUAACGGCCCACCAAGGCGACGAUCCAUAGCCGACCUGAGAGGGUGACCGGCCACAUUGGGACUGAGCCACGGCCCAAACUCCUACGGGAGGCAGCAGUGGGGAAUAUUGCACAAUGGGCGAAAGCCUGAUGCAGCGACGCCGCGUGAGCGAAGAAGUAUUUCGGUAUGUAAAGCUCUAUCAGCAGGGAAGAUAAUGACGGUACCUGACUAAGAAGCACCGGCUAAAUACGUG